ACAACAUUCGGAGCGUCGGUCUACCGAGCAAUACCAGCCGCUCAGUGGAAGAUCUCUCUCCGUCGU
rnacentral:pre_miRNA from 1 species